rnacentral:rRNA from 1 species
AUACGGGGGGUGCAAGCGUUAAUCGGAAUUACUGGGCGUAAAGAGUACGUAGGUGGUUUAUUAAGUCAGAUGUGAAAGCCCCGGGCUCAACCUGGGAACUGCAUUUGGAACUGAUAAGCUAGAGUAUGGUAGAGGGGGGUAGAAUUUCUAGUGUAGCGGUGAAAUGCGUAGAUAUUAGAAGGAAUACCAGUGGCCAAGGCGGCCCCCUGGACCAAUACUGACACUGAGGUACGAAAGCGUGGGGAGCGAACAGGAUUAGAAACCCCAGUAGUCC